CGUUCUAUUGCCGAAAUGGUGAAGGCAUCGCCGAUAACAGGCAGAUGCGGGUUCGAGUCCCGCUGGAAUGG
rnacentral:tRNA from 1 species